CGCCUUAGAGUUUGAUCCUGGCUCAGGACGAACGCUGGCGGCGUGCCUAACACAUGCAAGUCGAACGGUUCUCGAGGUUCGACAUUCGAGGUUCGAAGUUCGAGUGAACGCAAGCCUUUGGGGUCCUUGACCCGAAAGGAAUGCUUGAAUCGAACCACGAAUUUCGAACGUCGAACUUCGAGGAUAGUGGCGGACGGGUGAGUAACGCGUGGAUAACCUGCCUGGUAGACCGGGAUAACAGCUGGAAACGGCUGCUAAUACCGGAUACGCUCGGGAGUUCGCAUGAACACUCGAGGAAAGCUUUCGUGCUAUCAGAUGGGUCCGCGUCCCAUUAGCUAGUUGGUGGUGUAAAGGACCACCAAGGCGACGAUGGGUAGCCGGCCUGAGAGGGCGACCGGCCACACUGGGACUGAGACACGGCCCAGACUCCUACGGGAGGCAGCAGUGGGGAAUCUUCCGCAAUGGGCGAAAGCCUGACGGAGCAACGCCGCGUGAGGGAAGAAGGCCUUCGGGUUGUAAACCUCUGUUUUUAGGGACGAAGAGAUGACGGUACCUAAAGAGUAAGCUCCGGCUAACUACGUGCCAGCAGCCGCGGUAAUACGUAGGGAGCGAGCGUUGUCCGGAAUUACUGGGCGUAAAGGGCGCGUAGGUGGUCCAUUAAGUUACUGGUGAAAGUUCGGGGCUUAACCCCGUGAUUGCCUGUAAUACUGGUGGACUUGAGUGCAGGAGAGGGGAGUGGAAUUCCCAGUGUAGCGGUGAAAUGCGUAGAUAUUGGGAGGAACACCAGUGGCGAAGGCGGCUCUCUGGACUGUAACUGACACUGAGGCGCGAAAGCGUGGGGAGCAAACAGGAUUAGAUACCCUGGUAGUCCACGCCGUAAACGAUGAGUGCUAGGUGUUGCGGGUAUCGACCCCUGCAGUGCCGUAGUUAACACAAUAAGCACUCCGCCUGG
rnacentral:rRNA from 1 species